AUUGAACGCUGGCGGCAUGCCUUACACAUGCAAGACGAACGGCAGCGGGGACUUCGGUCCGCCGGCGAGUGGCGAACGGGUGAGUAAAGUAUCGGAACGUACCUUUCAGUGGGGGAUAACGUAGCGAAAGUUACGCUAAUACCGCAUAUUCUGUGAGCAGGAAAGCAGGGGAUCGCAAGACCUUGCGCUGAUUGAGCGGCCGAUAUCAGAUUAGCUAGUUGGUGAGGUAAAGGCUCACCAAGGCGACGAUCUGUAGCGGGUCUGAGAGGAUGAUCCGCCACACUGGAACUGAGACACGGUCCAGACUCCUACGGGAGGCAGCAGUGGGGAAUUUUGGACAAUGGGGGCAACCCUGAUCCAGCCAUGCCGCGUGAGUGAAGAAGGCCUUCGGGUUGUAAAGCUCUUUCGGCCGGGAAGAAAUCGUAUGGGUUAAUACCCUGUGCGGAUGACGGUACCGGCAUAAGAAGCACCGGCUAACUACGUGCCAGCCGCCGCGGUAAGAC
rnacentral:rRNA from 1 species